CCGCCGCCGCCGCCAGGUUUACCACAAACCAAGUGGUGGUCUUCCGGUGGCGGCGGGAGUAUGGCAGCGCCAGCACCGUCAGCAGGUUCCCUGCGGGGGACCGGAGGAAAGAUAUCAUCAACGAUUAUCAAAAGGACGAGCCCCGAGCCGCAUGAUGGCCUCGCCGCCCCCUCCGCCACGGCGCCACGAGCUGGACUUACCAAAGAACCCGAUGAACAUAAUGACGACGGCGAACACAGCUGUUAGCAUCAUGGCCCAGCGCUGGGCGGGCGCAGGCUCUGCACUUUGGUCCAUUGCAGAUAUUCUGUCAACGAAAUGAAUUUUGUUUGUGUAAGCUUGCUAAAGCUUCUCUUAGAAAGGAACAUAAAUCACUGAAUGAAGUAUUUUAAAGUUCGUUGUAUUGUUUUUGUAUUUCUAAUCUUGCAACAUAAAUAUACCUUGUACUCGAAUAUGAUACUGACGAUCACAUUUU